rnacentral:rRNA from 1 species
GACGAACGCUGGCGGCGUGCUUAACACAUGCAAGUCGAGCGGUAAGGCUCCUUCGGGAGUACACGAGCGGCGAACGGGUGAGUAACACGUGAGCAGUCUGCCCUUCACACGGGGAUAACUUCGGGAAACCGAAGCUAAUACCCGAUACGACCACCUCAGGCAUCUGAUGGUGGUGGAAAGUUCCGGCGGUGAAGGAUGAGCUCGCGGCCUAUCAGCUUGUUGGUGGGGUAACGGCCCACCAAGGCAACGACGGGUAGCCGGCCUGAGAGGGUGACCGGCCACACUGGGACUGAGACACGGCCCAGACUCCUACGGGAGGCAGCAGUGGGGAAUAUUGGACGAUGGGCGAAAGCCUGAUCCAGCAACGCCGCGUGAGGGAUGACGGCCUUCGGGUUGUAAACCUCUUUCAGCAGGGACGAAGCGCAAGUGACGGUACCUGCAGAAGAAGCACCGGCCAACUACGUGCCAGCCGCCGCAGUAAUAC